AGGAAAAAAAAAAACUUCACUCUCUGUGUAAAACAGUUAUUUAAAAGGAACAUCCUGCCCUGGUUUGUCUCCAAGCAGCUAGAAACAAUGGUAUUUUCUCUUUCACAAACUGCAUGCAAUUUGAACAAGCUCUGAAGCACACUUCAAUGCUGUGAGACCUCUGGAAGCGAAGAGAAAAACUUUGAUGGCAAGAUACCCGUUUGGUCUCCUGGAUAUCAACAACUGCACGAAGGAUUUAACAAGUGAUUAAGAUGAGCAGCGUCUGAUCUCAUGUAAACUCCCUAAAGCUGUUUGGCAUACCUGGAGGGUCACUCGGACACCAACCCAUUAGAGCAAAACAGGUGAUCAACCUCAGGACUGCAAAAUUCGACAUCUGAACUAGCGGAGAACAUCUUUAGAGGAACUACAUGCAAUAUUGGCUUUUCUUGGUUCUUUAAAAGAUAAGUAUUUUGAAAGGGUCUGCAGGACUGGGGGAGCCCUAAAGACAAUUCCGAUUCAAAUUAAAUAAUAGGCUAGCUUUUAAUGGAAAUGAUCAUCUAUCCCAAUCUGGAAAACCCACAAAAGUAUAAGCCACCUGCCUUCUUUCUCUCUUUAGGUGCCACUUUCUCUGACAUCCAGUUUUCCUGUUUCCUUACACAUGUGCUAAAGCAGGCACUGAGAUAUUUGGGAUGGAGACUGACAAAUGCUUACAAGAUACGUGACAAUGUUUCGUUAACUGUACUGCAGACAAGACUCAUCUGUUGGAGAAAAGACAUUGUCUUUCUGAAUUAUCUACUUCACUUCUGAAUGACCUUUAUAAAACUCACUGACUGUGCUUACCUAAUGCUAUUUAAUAAAUGUUAUUAAUGCAUGCAAGAAAAGCUAAGAGAGAUCACCACAGAACUGUGCAGCUUCAAACUGCUAAGGGAGUAUUGCUUUUUCCUCAGCAUGGCAACAUCAUCAGUUCUUCUGCAUCAAUGGACAGAUGUUCAAGGUGUCCCUUUUAAAUAAAAAUAAUUUUAAAAUGAA